UCCAAGACUGGGUCAUGUGAGGUCUGAGUCACAUGUCCCAGAGCAGGGGCUUGCAGCCCUACCAGAAACGUGCUUUUUGAGUCAGCCUACUUCGUUAGAGAGCGUGCGCAGAUGAGAACUAUAGGUACCAGCAACCAUAUGACAUGCUUUAUGAAGCAGUGGCUUUGGCAUACAGCGCAAGUACGGGUACUGAAGAUUGAACCUAGGACCUCUGCACCAAGCAGAGACAGUGCUUGGCCCAUGGAGGGCAAUGAAGAAAUUGGAACCAUCUGGAAUCGUCUUUAAAUCUCCAGAGGAGAGAGAUCUGAGGGCAGCCUCCUUUCCAUCUGUUUGUCUGUUUUAUCAGACUGCAUAGGGAAGAGAGUGGCCGACAGGGAUUUGGGCAUUACCAGGACUUCUGACCAGAAUACCACCUAGUAUGUCUCUGGGCCCCAGGCUUCUAUACCUGGGAGUCCACCUGGCAGCCCAUGGUUGUGUCCCUCCCACCUGGGACAGGAUCCAUCAGCCAGGUGUGCCCCCUCACCUGUGGGAUUCUUUGCCAACUUCUCUCUAGGAGGUGCUGGGCUCAGAGUUGUAAAAUCCCUUUUGUUUCCUUCUGGAUCUUAGUGAGGGCCAGAAGGUAGGAAACUGUGCCUAGAACUGUCCUUUCUGAAGACCAGUAGCAUCCUAAAGGGAGAUGGAAUAUCAAAGUAGCUAAGUGGAGGGCCAUCCUCUGAACAGCAUAGAGAGACAGAGAGGUGGCCAAAGUUGCUCCCUGGGCCAAGGACUUAUUGAAUAGUCAGGUGUCCUUUGAGGCCACCUGAGCAGUGCACUCCAUCAGCAACCCAGAUGUGUGUGUGUGUGUGUGUGUGUGUGUGUGUAUGCGUGUGUGUUUGUAUGUGAAAAGGACUGGCCACAGACAAGAUCUCCAUAAAUACUACAGAUCAGAUUUUCACCUCUCUCACGGUAGGAAAUUCCUGCUACGAACAGCAUUAAAAGUUUAUUUACUUACACAUGUAAUUGUUUACAUAGUUAAUAAUUUGGUUUAAAAAAUUCAGCUCCUGGCACAAGUGCAUGUUUAAAACAUUUGAACCCCACAACUGCAAAUAAACCACCCAUUGCACAGUGGGUCUUUCAGGCCCCUUGGUGUGCAGCUGAGGCUGGGCAGAAACCGUUCCAACACCAACACAGCCUGAGUUCUGGCCCAGGAUGAUGCAGCCUCUUGCUUUCCACACAUGUUUAUGGGGAGCUGGGCACUAGGCAAGUCCCCAUGUGGAGGGCAUUGGCUCCACUGCCGCUGCUGUCCCAGAGACGCGGAGAUCAGAGUGAGCCAUUUCCAGGCAGGAGCCGGGGGCAGGUGGCCCUUUCUCCAGGGCCGUUAGUGUGUGUCCUGCACAGCCCCAUCCCGACUUGACCUUUUGGCCAGGACUGAAUUGCAGUGCCGUCCAGUGCAGUGCAUUGCUCCCUAUGCCCCUCCUCAGCAGGGCUGCCCAGGCACACUUACCACCUGUCUCCCAUUCCUCCUUCACUGUGCUUUCCCUCCUGCCCCGCAGAUGGAUCUUUUUAGUCCCUAAGGUCUGGGCUCUAGGGCCAUCUGCUCAGGGUGGUCUUUCCACCCACACUAGCCACCCAGGGUCUCACCAGGACUCCCAGUGACUGCACCCCCUCCCCAGCCUCGUUUACUCCCUUCAGAGCCCUGGGCAUUGGCCAGAGUCUGAAAUGAGCACGUUGCUUCUCGGAAUACUUGUUUACUGCCUUGUUACCCUGAGACAGCAGAGCCCUCCUCUGUCUGCAUCACCCUCAGAUCCUGCCUUUAGAGAAGAACCUGACUCACUGUGAUUAUCCAAAGCUGUUUAUUAGCAGAGGACUAAUCUCCAUUAUGUCUCACCCUGACUGGGAUGAGCAUUGCUUCAUCAACAGCGUGUGCAGAGCCUGUGAGCGGUUUAACUGGGUGGACAGCAUAGCAAGGAGGGGUGUCUGUGGGGCACCUAAUUUUUACACAAAAUUUGCUGUCUGUACAUUUUCCCAGGCUGAGUCCAAAGUGGGCUUCUUAUUCCCAAAGGGCUCUGGGAGCCUGCCUCCACAAAUGAAGGACACUCUGAUGGAGUCCGGUGGUCCCAGAAAUCUGGGCCUACAGUGCGGUGGGGGUAAUGGAAGGAAAGCAGAGGGCAACCUUGGUGUUUCUGGGAAUUCUCAGCAUCAGUGUCUCCGACAGCGUGAGAUUCCUGGGAGUUUCACCAGGGACCCUCACCGUGUGUGCGUGUGUGCGUGUGUGUGUGCGUGCGUGUGUGUGUGUGUGUAGGGAAGAGGCUGGUAGCUGUGGGAAACAGACAACACUGAGGUUUCACUUAAAAUUCACUUAGGAAACACCUUUCACUGCUUUGGAGAGAGGAAGAGGAAGGAUGAAAACUCUUCAUACAACUACACACACUGACCACAAUGUGGUAAAAGCUCCGUAAGCCCAUUGGAAUUUGAAAUGUCUGAAUUUGAAAAUGUAUCUCAUAUACCUCCUCUACCAAACACCCUAACUUAACCUAGCGUCCCUUAAAUGUGCUCAGGACAUGAGUUGGUCAGAGUCAGGUAACACAAAGCCUGUUUUGUUAUAAAGUGUUAAAUAUCUCCAUGUAAUUCAUUGAGUGUCUGUAUCCCCAAGUGCUGAGAACACAGCACACUGUCAAGUGCCAUUUGUCUCCUCUUGUGAUCAUGAGGCUGCCUGGGAACUGCGGUUCCCAUCUCUCCUCAGCAUCUCCAGAGCCAAGCACACCGCUUAUCCUCUACUAACAGGAAAUGAUCCAAAUUCAAAAUUUCAAAUAGUUUCUCCUGAAUGCAUACAAUUUGUGUCAUUGUGAAGUUGAACUAUCUUAAUCAAACCAUAGAAGUUGCGGAGUAUCUGUACUUAAACCUCAGCUCAAUUUAUUUGGAGAGAAAUUAAAGAAGACUGUUUUCCUGAA